rnacentral:lncRNA from 1 species
CCCAUACUCAGAAUCGGUGCUCUGCAUUUAACCCAUCCAAAGUACACACACACACACACACACACACACACACAUACACACACACACCAUCCAAAGUACACACACACACACACACACACACACACACAUACACACACACACACUGUGUUUGGUGAGCUACAGAAGGCGCAGCAGAAGGACGUGUCGUCUCAGCCCUCGUCCGGCCGUGCUCUCAGCGCACAGAUGCUCGAGACUCUCGGUCUGAGAGCGGCCCUCGCAGACGCACAGGUCCUGCAGCUGACAGACGCGGACAGAGACGGCAAACUCAGCGCUUUCCACAUCAACACGUUCUUCAGACGCCUUUCUUUCAGACAGUGACCCGUGCUGGGACUCGUCCUCAUUCCUGCAGAUGAUCGCCGGUGUCACACUUCAGCACACAGCUGCUCUUCAUCCAUCAUCAUAAUAGUAAUACUGCUGGCUGUCACAUGUUGUUUUUAUUGGGACUCCUCUGCACGUGGAGAUAUUUCUGACUCUCUGUACAGCAGCGGUGGGCCGUCUGCUUGCCCUGUAAAAAUAAAAUUGUGUAAAAAAUGUUUUUAUUAUUAUUAUUAAGGUAUCAUUUUCAUUUGUGUGAUGUCCACAAAAUGGCCUAUGAUUAGUUUCGUUGAGGUUGAACUGGAAUAUCCUACAUAAAAAAAGUCUGCGGCCAGCACUACAUAUAGUGCUUCCCUUUAGUUCAAAGACAUCGAAUCUGAUUCGUAAUGAGCAUUAGUGACAGAAUCAUCAGCCAAUCAAAUUUUGACGUUCUAUGACCGCACGCACUCUGGGCAAGAGGGUCUGGCUGCAGACAUAUGGGCGAGUGGAGCUCCACUCCAGAGCGGAAAUACACCACCUCUUUUAGGAGCUUAGAUGGAAUAGAGUCUAACAUACAGUACAGACCAAAAGUUUGGAAACAUUACUAUUUUUAAUGUUUUUGAAAGAAGUUUCUUCUGCUCAUCAAGCCUGUAUUUAUUUGAUCAAAAAUACAGAAAAACAGUAAUAUUGUGAUAUAUUAUUACAAUUUAAAAUAAUUGUUUUAAAUGUAUUAUACUUUAAAUUAUAUUUCUGUGAUGCAAAGCUGAAUUUUUAGGAUCAUUAUCACAUGAUCCUUUAGAAAUCAUUCUAAUAUGAUGAUUCAUUAUCAAAGUUGGAAACAGUUUCUGCUGCUUAAUAUUUUUUUCAAUUUUUUUAUUUUUUUUUACUUUUUAUUCAUCAAAGUAUCCUAAAAAAGUUUUAGGAUACUUUGAUGAAUAAAAAGUAAAAAAAAAAAUAGCUAUGUUUUUAAAAUAUAAAUAUUUUGUAAUAACAAUAUACACUACUGGUCAGUAAUUUGGGGGUCAGUAAUUUUUUUUCUUUCUUUUUUUUUUUAAAUAAAAACCAAAUAUAUUAGACAGCAGAACUGUUUCCAACACUCAUAAUAAAUCAGAAUAUUAGAAUGAUUUCUAAAUGAUCAUGUGAUAGACUGGAUGUUACAUGUGACACUGAAGGCUGGAGUAAUGAUGCUGAAAAUUCAGCUUUGCAUCACAGGAAUAAAUUAUUUUUUUAAAGUAUAUUCAAAUAGAAAACUAUUAUUUUAAGUUGUAAUAAUAUUUCACAAUAUUACGUUUUUUUCUGUAUUUUUGAUCAAAUAAAUGCAGGCUUGAUGAGCAGAAGAAACUUCUUUCAAAAACAUUAAAAAUAGCAAUGUUUCCAAACUUUUGGUCUGUACUGUAUAUGUUGUUCAUUUAGAUGAUUUAACAAGUUUAUACAAUUCUUCCUCUCCUAUAGUAGAGAAUGAGUGGAACUGUUCCUCAGGGGAUCUAUAGUGCACUGUCUGAUGUGAUACUGUAGCUGACGGCUGCAUGGUUACAAUUUUGUCUCUAAUAGUAUCGACUUUAGAAGUAAAGUAGUUCAUAAAGUCAUUACUGCUGUGAUGUUGAGAAAUGUCAACACUUGUUGAUGCUUUAUUUUUAGUUAAUUUAGCCACUGUAUUGAAUAAAUACCUGGGGUUAUGUUUGUUUUCUUCUAAAAGAGACGAAAAGUAAUCAGAUUUAGCAGUUUUUAAUGCUUUUCUGUAGGAUAGGUUACUUUCCCUCCAAGCAAUACGAAAUACCUCUAGUUUUGUUUUCCUCCAGCUGUGCUCCAUUUUCCGGGCUGCUCUCUUUAGGGUGCGAGUGUGCUCAUUACACCACGGUGUCAGACUGUUUUCCUUAACCUUCCUUAAGCGUAAAGGAGCAACAAAAUGCUAGAAAAAAGAGAGUCCAUAGUUUCUGUUACAUCAUCAAGUUGUUCUGAGGUUUUGGAUAUGCUAAGGAAUUGGGAUACAUCAGGAAGAUUACUUACAAAGCAGUCUUUUGUGGUAGAAGUGAUGGUUCUACCAUACUUGUAACAAGAAGUGGAAUUUACAGUUUUAGCUAUAUGAAGUUUGCACAAAACUAAAUAAUGAUCUGAGAUAUCAUCGCUUGGCUGCAUAAUUUCAACACCAUCAACAUCAAUUCCAUGUGACAGUAUUAAAUCUAGAGUAUGAUUUCGACAAUGAGUAGGUCCUGAGACGUGUUGUCUAACCUCAAUAGAGUUCAGAAUGUCUAUAAAUGCUGAUCCCAAUGCAUCUUUUUCAUUAUCAACAUGGAUAUUAAAAUCACCAACAAUUAAAACUUUAUCUGCAGCCAGCACUAACUCGGAUGUAAAAUCAGC